rnacentral:lncRNA from 1 species
UUUGGAGUUUCCAAGCAACUUUGAAUCCAAUUUACCCAUUUCUGUGGGAAGUUCAUAUCGAUGAGCAUCUUAUAGAUAAAACUCCUAUUAACUGAAACAAAGGCUUUCAGUAAAUCAGCUUUAAAACAUAUUUUCGUCCCUCUCGCAUUUGAGUGCAAGUCCUUUAUCAAGUCAUUAGCAAGCAGAAUAUUAUGAUGUAUACUUCUCCCGUUGAUGAAAGCUGCC